rnacentral:lncRNA from 1 species
ACCAUAUGGAAGUUUGAAUAAGGAUCUGUUCAUUACAUCACUAUUGUAAUUUCUGCUUCCCUUCCAGGCAGUUUGGAGAGGAUUUCCGCUUCAUUGCUGUGGCCCAUUUAGGAGUUUACCACUAAAGCUAUUCCCAAAGAACACUCACUGCUGCGCUUCAUCUUAGGAAUGUAUUCCUGUUUUUUUUAAUGGACUCUCCAAAGAUCCA